rnacentral:rRNA from 1 species
GACGAACGCUGGCGGCGUGCUUAACACAUGCAAGUCGAACGGAAAGGCCCUGCUUUUGUGGGGUGCUCGAGUGGCGAACGGGUGAGUAACACGUGUGUAACCUGCCCUUGACUUUGGGAUAACUUCAGGAAACUGGGGCUAAUACCGGAUAUGAGCUCCUGCUGCAUGGUGGGGGUUGGAAAGUUUCGGCGGUUGGGGAUGGACUCGCGGCUUAUCAGCUUGUUGGUGGGGUAGUGGCUUACCAAGGCUUUGACGGGUAGCCGGCCUGAGAGGGUGACCGGCCACAUUGGGACUGAGAUACGGCCCAGACUCCUACGGGAGGCAGCAGUGGGAAAUAUUGCAGAAUGGGCGGAAGCCUGAUGCAGCAACGCCGCGUGCGGGAUGACGGCCUUCGGGUUGUAAACCGCUUUCGCAGGUGACGAAGAGUGAGUGACGGUAAUGGGUAAAGAAGCACCGGCUAACUACGUG